rnacentral:rRNA from 1 species
UAACACGUGAGCAAUCUGCCCUUGACUCUGGGAUAACAGUUGGAAACAGCUGCUAAUACCGGAUACGAGACGUGACCGCAUGGUCAACGUCUGGAAAGAACUUCGGUCAAGGAUGAGCUCACGGCCUAUCAGCUAGUUGGUGAGGUAACGGCCCACCAAGGCGACGACGGGUAGCCGGCCUGAGAGGGUGACCGGCCACACUGGGACUGAGACACGGCCCAGACUCCUACGGGAGGCAGCAGUGGGGAAUAUUGCACAAUGGGCGCAAGCCUGAUGCAGCAACGCCGCGUGAGGGACGACGGCCUUCGGGUUGUAAACCUCUUUUAGCGAGGAAGAAGCGAAAGUGACGGUACUUGCAGAAAAAGCGCCGGCUAACUACGUGCCAGCAGCCGCGGUAAUACGUAGGGCGCAAGCGUUAUCCGGAAUUAUUGGGCGUAAAGAGCUCGUAGGCGGUUUGUCGCGUCUGCUGUGAAAUCCCGAGGCUCAACCUCGGGUCUGCAGUGGGUACGGGCAGACUAGAGUGCGGUAGGGGAGAUUGGAAUUCCCGGUGUAGCGGUGGAAUGCGCAGAUAUCAGGAGGAACACCGAUGGCGAAGGCAGAUCUCUGGGCCGUAACUGACGCUGAGGAGCGAAAGGGUGGGGAGCAAACAGGCUUAGAUACCCUGGUAGUCCACCCCGUAAACGUUGGGAACUAGUUGUGGGGUCCAUUCCACGGAUUCCGUGACGCAGCUAACGCAUUAAGUUCCCCGCCUGGGGAGUACGGCCGCAAGGCUAAAACUCAAAGGAAUUGACGGGGACCCGCACAAGCGGCGGAGCAUGCGGAUUAAUUCGAUGCAACGCGAAGAAYCUUACCAAGGCUUGACAUAUACGAGAACGGGCUAGAAAUAGUCAACUCUUUGGACACUCGUAAACA